AUGAUGAUGUCACUGACUCUACUGAUGGGCACUCUGGGGCUCCUUGUUCAGGGUUCAUCAGGACAAAUCAUCCUGACUCAGUCUCCUGGAUCUCAGUCUGUUGCUCCAGGACAGACUGUCACCAUCAGAUGUAAAGCCAGUUCAAUUGUUGGUAGCAGGCUCCACUGGUACCUUCAGAAAUCUGGAGAAGCUCCUAAACUCCUGAUUUAUUUGGUUAAAUCCCGUAAGUCUAUAAUUUCAAAUCGUUUUAGUGGAAGUUUUAUUACAGAAUACUAUGACUUCACUCUGACCAUCAGUGGAGUUCAGGCUGAAGAUUCAGGAGUUUACUACUGUCAGCAGAAUUGGAAGACACCGUUCACACAGUGA